UUAAUGAAAUCCACUUCGGGUUUUCCUAGAGUGUAGGGGCGGAGAAGUCAUCCCCAGUCUCCAAUUCUUCGGAAGCUGAAAGGGGCUUUUAGUUUCAAUUACUUUUAUGCUAGGUUACAGAAGGAUGGAACCGCAUCCCGCAGCCACGAAUAUCUCCCGUGCUCCGGGGAAAACGGCCUAAUUGAAAACGUUGUCAGCAGCACACAACCCUUCUUACAGCUUGAGUGGCUGCUUUUCUGGGUGGAAAAGAGCGAUAUCAGACCGAUGGUGAGCAAUCGGGGGACGGAUAAACAAAGGUAAACGUGGCUGUGUGAUUAAGUUAUGGCCAAUGAGCUAUAAGUAGAAAUAGUUGAGUAGAACUUCUGGAAAAUAUCUUUAAAGAAGAUUGGCUCAGUUAGGAAGAGCGCCAUUUUGGUUUGUGUCCUCCACUUUUCUUCCUGCCUGAAACACAGAUAAAGUGAUCAGAGCAUCUCAGCCAUUAUGGAUUAUUAACACACCUUGAGAUGAGAAGCCAUGUCCUAAGGAAGCAUUAAUGUCUUAGCCUCUGCAGAAAAGCCUUGGUCUUUAUUACCCUGUGGAAGAAAGAAAACAAAAGCCCCUGUGAAUACCACACAAUAGAUGCUGAUUCUCUGCUGAAGGGAAAGAGCAAGCCGGGAGAGCUGGACUGGAAGACCAUUUUUGUCUAUAGCACUAUGAAGAUCACUGCCUGGACUCUUGGUGCUGUAGAAGUUUGAAGGUCCUGGGACAUAGAGAAGUGAUAAACUUGAUGACCACCCUGCAUUUACAAGAAGUUAUUGCCUGCAAGUAGGUGCUCAGAUACAUUCAACUUGAACUUCCCAAGAGGCUUUUAAACACCAGAUUCUCAGACUCCACCCAAGAUUCUAGCUCAGUAGCUCUGGAAUGGGAUCUUUUUUUUUAAUAAAUCUCACUUCCAAGGUGAUUUUGAAGAGCAGCUUGAUUUGUUGGAAACCACCAUCAUAGGCAAGCCAGUAGAGGACAGUAGUGGCUGAAAGAGUGGCAUGCAGUGGCUCUAGCUAAUCUGUUCUGAAACUUUGUAACAUGCACCCCCAAUCACUGCAAAUAAAAAUAGCAUGCCUGCUAUGCAAAUUCAGCUUCAAGAAAAGUCCCUUAGGCACGCUCUUGCCAGCCACAUUGUACCUUAAAAUCCCCUUAGUAAAGUAAUUUUGGAGUCUCCAGCAGAAGUGAUAUAAUCCAUACUGUAGCUUUCAAAGAACUUCCAAGAUAGAUAACACACAAAUCUAGGAUAGCACACUUUAAGAACUGAAUGAGGACUAUAGACAUUGAGCAUUCAUUCAGAAGAGGAAGCAAUUACUAUAGUCUGAGCUGUUGAGAUACGCCUCAGCGUGAAGAGUGGUUUGAGCUGAAUUAUGGAAGAAGGUAGAGCUGGGAUGUAUGGUGGUAAAGAAAAAGAAUACUGGAUUGGGGUUGGGAUUUGGGAAUAAAACUGGCUUUGCCAUUCACUAGCUGGAUGCCUCUG